GUACACAUAUUGCUGUCAUGAGUCCCUCAGAAGUACCGAUAGGAUCCCAUGUAGGACCCGACCAUCAUAUGGUGAUUGGCUACACUCCUGCCUCUAGUGGGUCCAUAAAUGCACCACUGGUUCAAUUUCGAUACCAAGCACCUCAUUUUGGCAUGUUUCAACAAAAUCUCUUCAACAUUAGACCACAGACUUCAAUUGGUACCAGUCUGAGUCAUUUUGGAAUACCUAAGAUCGGCCCUAGUGGAUCAAUUAGUGGCCCUUUGGUUGCUUGUGGCUACCAACCAAGUACAAACUUGUACAAGCAAAUUCCCUCAAGCAACCUGCAAUUGGCACAUUUACGUGAAGAUACAUCUAUAGGAAGUAUUGCAUUUCAACAGUUAUCAUCAGCACCAUGUGAUAAGAGUCAACUGUUACAGUGUGAAGAACACAACCUACAUUUGAAAAAAUAGAUUUUCUUUCCUCAAACGUAAAUUCUACAUGUCUGAAAUGAUGGUACAAGAUGUGUAUGAGAAGAUUACAUUGCUCUUCAGCACUUUUGGGUUUUUAAGCUGCAUGUGGCUUCAUAGCUGGAAGCAGUCGCAACCCUCAUGGCUCUCCAUGUAGGACAUGAUAUGGUUUUCAACAACAGCCCCUGUAUGUAGCAGCAGAAGCAACAUGUUCUUUUCAAAUCAAUGUGGCCUUCUUUUGCUCCAUGCAGUUGUCCUGCGGCUGAUGUUGUGCAAGUUUUGGAUAGGAGCUACCUUGGUCAUUUUGUCUUGGGCUGUUGUGGGUUUGGUAUGUCUUAUUAUGGUGUGCAGCUGGUUUAUAGGGAUGGUAGUUGGUGGGUGUCAUUGAAGAUUUAGAUCAAUUUUGGGGUGCCAGAUUGGUGGCUUGUUUUGUGGGUCUGUUAUAAUUUUUUAAUUUUUUUAGCCCUGUAUAGUUUUUUGUUUUUUUUUGUUUUGUUUUGUUUUGUUUUGUUUUUUUUUUUUGUACAAGUGCUCUAAAUGAUAGGCAUGACUGCUGCCCUUUUUGUUGGCGUCCGCUUGAAUAGUUGUAUAGAGCAUUUCCACUCAAUAAUCUUAGGUGGUGUUCUUCACCUUUAGAAAAAGAAGAAGAAAGAAUGGGUAUAUAUCAAUAUGAGCAGGAUUUGGAUUUUGACUAUGUGAUUUAGAUGUGGAUUGAAUAUGUAAUUGAAUGAUUAACAGGUUGAAUGUGGAUUGCAUGUGUAAUUGAAUGUAAAUGCGUUGUUGGCAAAUAAUCAAGUCCUUUUUGUUGCUUUAGCCUUGUCAAUAUGAUGAACGCAUUGAAAUAUGUAAGUUUCCCAGAUAUUUAUUUGAAGGUAAGCAGGAUUGUUACGCAGGCUA